rnacentral:rRNA from 1 species
GAUGAACGCUGGCGGCGUGCCUAAUACAUGCAAGUCGAGCGAACAGACGAGGAGCUUGCUCCUCUGACGUUAGCGGCGGACGGGUGAGUGACACGUGGAUAACCUACCUAUAAGACUGGGAUAACUUCGGGAAACCGGAGCUAAUACCGGAUAAUAUAUUGAACCGCAUGGUUCAAUAGUGAAAGACGGUUUUGCUGUCACUUAUAGAUGGAUCCGCGCCGCAUUAGCUAGUUGGUAAGGUAACGGCUUACCAAGGCAACGAUGCGUAGCCGACCUGAGAGGGUGAUCGGCCACGCUGGAACUGAGACACGGUCCAGACUCCUACGGGAGGCAGCAGUAGGGAAUCUUCCGCAAUGGGCGAAAGCCUGACGGAGCAACGCCGCGUGAGUGAUGAAGGUCUUCGGAUCGUAAAACUCUGUUAUUAGGGAAGAACAAAUGUGUAAGUAACUAUGCACGUCUUGACGGUACCUAAUCAGAAAGCCACGGCUAACUACGUG